UGUUUUAGUGAUGUCAGCUAGUGCAGUUCUCAAAUGGCUGCCUAUUAGGGAAAGAAUUCAGAGGAUUUGACUGCUCCUAAUCAUCUGUCAUUGCUGCUAGAUAAUGAUUGGCGAUUUUUAAGACUCAACUGGAAAUCUCAACAGUUGCUGGUAAACCAUUAACCAUCAAAAUGUUGCUUUUGAACACCAGUGCUGAAAAAAAUACAUUGCUUUUUUUUUUUUUGAGAGUGAAAAGGGCUUGGACGUAGGAUAGGACAAUGUGGAGAAUGGGGGGAAGAAUGCAAAACGAUAUAGUAUCCCUUAUGGAUGGUACAUGUGCAACAGGGAACUCUUACUUCAUAUACCCUUUGCAGUAAUCAUUCAGGGAGGAAGAAAAACCUGGAACUUGAAUGAAGGCUGAUCUUUGUUUUGUGCACUGUGGCCCUGCCAGGCAUAUAGUGAAGGUAAGAAUGAUUGAUGUUGGCUGAUGUUGGAGUGCUCGUUCACAUGAAGUGGAUAGAUACUUCUCAAGACAUCACACAGCGUGAGUCAAUCAAGGAGGGAAGCCACAAGCAGACUGACAAUGUUUCUAGGAUCAGGUGAGCUGUGUCCAGAAAACCAACGAGAAGGAGUGGAAGGAGGAAUGAACGUUUCGUUCUCGUUAAUAAAGGCAUUAUCCUAAUUA
rnacentral:sRNA from 1 species